UUAUUCCCUGUCGACAAGUUGUUCCGGAGUUCAAAGCAUUUUUUCAUGAUGGACGCUGUCAGAGGUAGCACACGCCACGCACACACCGGCACACACCGUGAUACACCACUGUGGCUGAGCUCACUGGUGUAGCACAACACACACACACACAUACAUACACACACACACACACAUACAUACACACACACACACUCACACAUAGGGUACAUUUACAGUUGAAUAGACAGAUGAUACAAACGCACACAAUGUAACUUUGCCUAUAGUGUUGCUUUUUGUUAUCAUUGAGGCUGCUUCUAUCCACUACUACUACUACUACUACUACUACUACUACUACUACUACUACUACUGCUACUACUGCUUAAACUGCUCCGUACGUACUAAUACUCCUGCUAUUACUUCCACUAUUACUGGAUUUAGCGGGGGUAGCGCUGCCAGGUCGCCAUCUACUUCAUUCUAUUCACGAAGCGUCGUAAAUUCUGGCGACACUUAUUGGAUUCCUAGGGUUGUCAGGACGCGCGGGGUUGUCACUCGUCCGUGGCGGGAAGUGGUCCAAUAUCGAAAAGAUUUGCCUUAAGGGGAAGCGUUACGAAGAUGGAGUAACCCAAAGCAUCUCAGAUUCAGUGCUGCAGGAGGAGAAGGAAGAGGAGGAGGAGGAGGAGGAGGAGGAGGAGGAGGAGGAGGAGGAGGAGGAGGAGGAGGAGGAAGAGGGAGAGGAAGAGGAAGAGUAGGAGGAGGAGAAGAACCAUAACAACAACGAUAACGAAAAGGAAAGAUGACAUGCGUAAUACAAGACACUCCCAAAACUGUAUAUAGGAUUAUAAAUAUAUGAGCAGCCUACAUAAGAUUGAAUACGAUUUCUUCCACGUCUUCUGAAGUGUUACCAAUAUUUUACUAUGACUUGAAACUCUUCCCUGCAUAUCCUCUUUUCAAAGUUGUUGUGGUGUACAGAGGUGUCUGGAUAUGCGGCGGUGGGAAGGCGUAGGGAAGAGACGGUUGAAGGAAGGAGGGACGAGAGGAGGGAAGGAGAGAGGGAGGGGCGGAGGCAAGUAGUAUAGUUACGAUGAGGUAGUGAUGUUACUAAACUAUACGUACAUCCACUGUCCUUAUAAACCCUUAAAAUUAUGCUAUGAUAACACUGUAAGUUUCAUCACAAACCAUCACGGCUUAAAAAAAAUCACAUAUAAGGAUAAAACAAUGCAGGAAAUGAAUGAUGAGGUGGCACCGUCUCACCGUCAGGGAGGUGCAUCUCUCCGCCAGCAGCAAACUUGACGUCACUACUUGGCGCGCGAAGGUCCAAUGUGAGACCGUUUGGUUACUGCUUGUAAUUUGAAAACACAACCUGUGAGGAGUAGCCAGGGCGUGCAGCGGCGUGCAGUGCGUGGGUAUGGUGACUGUGUGGCCUCUGAUGUGCAGGUGUGUGAGCUGCUGGACGAGAGAAGAGCAAACGAAAAGUAAACAUGGGAUUGCUGCCGCCUCAGGACACUAGGAGCAUUGCGGAAGCGCUGAGGAAGAUAAUACAACUCUUGACGCAGCGAACACAACUCUGUACUGAGGCAGGCAGUGGCUUCUCCCAACACCUCACGUGGUCAUCACAACAAGAUCCCAUCCCGUCACUGGCACCAAAUAUCUUCCCGUCCCGCGCCCUGGAUCUCCCGUCGCUAGGCAACAUCUCCGAUAAUUAGCUGGCAGACAGGGCAGCGGGGGCUGAGGAGAGCGAGAGGGAGACAGGCGGCACGGAGUACAAAACUGAUCUGGCACCAACAAGCAAUAGAGUAGCAUCCCCACGUGCGCCGGACACUUCACCGCCACCCAGCUGUCCCGGCCCGGCAACACACCACAACAGCCUUCCCUGCGACAGCCUCCAAAUUGCCCCCGGGAAGCAAAGGAGGAAACGUCCAGAGAGUGUAUUGAUUUUACGGUAGGUUCAUAAAAUCGGAUUAAACAGUAACAUGGAUGUCUCUUUCACCUCCCGCUGUUGUCUUGCCUCUUCUGCUUCUAUUUUUAUCUUCUUCGUCUGCUUCUUUCUCUUCGUCGUUGUCGUCCUCCUCCUCCUCCUCCUCUUCUCCGUCUUUUCUUUGUUUCCUUCAACUCCUGCUGCUGCUGUUUCUCUCUCUCUCUCUCUCUCU